UUGGACAAUGAACGAAAGUUCGAUCCAGCAAUAUCGCGUGAGUGAGGAAGGUCCUUUACCGUAAAGCUCUUUCAAUAACGUGAGAAAAUGACAAAAUGUUAUAAAAGAAACCCCGACUAACUUCGUGCCAGCAGUCGCGGUAAUACGGGGGGGGUUAGUGUUAUUCAUCGUUACUGGGUGUAAAGCGCGCGUGGACUGUUUAAAAAGUUUUAAUUAAAACAAUCUAAGCACAACUUAGAAAUUAAUUUCUAUACUUUUAAACUUGAGGUUGAAGGAAGAAAGCUAUACUUCUCAGAGAAAAGUGAAAUUUGUCCGAACUGAGGGGGAUAACCAGCAGGCGAAAGCGGCUUUCUAUGACAAUGCUGACGUUUUGGCGCAAAAGCUUGGGGAUCAAACGGGAUUAGAGACCCCGGUAGUCCAAGCCCUGACCUAUGAGUAUUAAGUGUUGGUUCUAUUUUUAAAGUUUAAAAACAAAUGAAUCGAUGCAUAAGCUAACGCGUAAAUACUCCACCUGGAUAGUACGGCCUCAAGGUUAAAACUCAAAGGAAUUGACGG
rnacentral:rRNA from 1 species